rnacentral:rRNA from 1 species
GACGAACGCUGGCGGCGUGCUUAACACAUGCAAGUCGAACGGAAAGGCCCUGCUUUUGUGGGGUGCUCGAGUGACGAACGGGUGAGUAACACGUGAGUAACCUGCCCUUGACUUUGGGAUAACUUCAGGAAACUGGGGCUAAUACCGGAUAGGAGCUCCUGCUGCAUGGUGGGGGUUGGAAAGUUUCGGCGGUUGGGGAUGGACUCGCGGCUUAUCAGCUAGUUAGUGGGGUAGUGGCUUACCAAGGCUUUGACGGGUAGCCGGCCUGAGAGGUUGACCGGGCACAUUGGGGCGUAGGUACGGCCGGGGCCGCAGCGGGUGGCAGCACAGGAGUGUGGUGCAGAUUAUGCGGAAGCCUGUUUGAGUAAUGCCGCGUGCGCAAAGUCGGCCUUCGGGUUAUAAACCUCUUUCGCCUGUCACGCACCGUGAGUGACGGUAACGGCUAAGGAAGCACCGUCUAACUAUGUG